GCUGGGCAUUGGUGGUGCAUGCCUGUAGUCCCAGCUACUUUGGAGGCUGAGGUGGGAGGAUCACUUGAGCCUAAGAGGUCAAGGCUGCAGUGAGCCAUGAUCAUGCCACUGCACUUCAGCCUGGGCAACAGAGUGAGAUCCUGUCUCAA
rnacentral:SRP_RNA from 1 species